UGCAGAUGGAAUUACAGGUAGACGCACGCAGCUUCGGCUGCGGGUCCGGCGAAGAAUCGCCGGACGCCCGGGUUCAAAUCCCGGUCCAGCAA
rnacentral:tRNA from 1 species